UGCAUUGUAGCAGACUAGUAGCAAUCUUCAUGAGAUUGUUAGAGAAGCUUGCUAAGUUUCAUACAAAUGCUCACCAACUAAUGACAUGGCUACUGUUUCAGUAUUUUGAAUUAUGCUGUUGCAGUCAUCUUUCACGAGUUUCAGCAUCCACGUGCUGUAGUUUGAAUCUGCUACUUGUGAGUAUAAAACUGACAUCUGAAUUGGUAUUUCUUCAUGCCACCUUCCCUGUUUAUUUAAGGAGAAUAAGCUUUCAGUAGCUGUUGUGAUUAUUGAUUUUAAUUCCUAAUAUCAUAUAUGUAAAAGGUUUAAAUUGACAUGAUAAUUCCAGUUGAAACAUUUAAGUGAUUGUUUUUUUGAGUCAUUUAAUUGACUUGCUUAUUUUGGCCCAAUUGUGUGGCUUUGACCAUUCUAGUUAGUUUGGCUUGAAGAUUUUCAACCUAACAAAGCUAAUCUCAGAUCUGAAAUCAAAAGUGGCAUUAGGUCCAGUAUUUCCUGUUUGAUUGAGCUCAAAUUAGAGCAUUAGUAAACUCCAUAGUUCUUCCUAUCUGUCAUGUCCAUCCUUGUCUAGCUUUAUUAAUUAGGAAUUUUGCUACAUAGUUUACUUAAUGCUAACCAGAUUCAGUUUUUCUUUCAUAUCAAAUUUUGUGUUGUUCAUGAGUUGAUAUGCAACAUGAUGUGUACUUCUUUUUGUCAACUUGGUAAUCAUAUCAGUGCAGGCCUCAUUUGUUUUUAGUUUUGUACAAUAGAUUUGCCUAACAUCUUUUGAUUACAAUCACCGUGAUGAUUAAGUAUCACAAAUCAAGCAUUUGUUAACUGUUUUAGAUUUGUGAUGCUUUAGAUUUUCCUAACAUCGCAGAUAAUUUCACCUGCAACAACUUUCUUAUAGACUGCCAUUUGUGAUGCUUUAGUCAUAUGUUGAGGCUUAUCUUUCUUUUAUUUUAUGAUCAAGGCACAUUUUUUAUUUGUUCAUUCAGGGACAAAGAGACCCGGAGCAUUGAUGCUUCACUUACUUGCUGAAGCUAUUAUAUUAGCCCUUUUUUGUUGAAGCUAUUAUAUUAGCCCUUUACUAGAGAAAAUACCUCUAGUGGUUUCUCAAAUUUGAUUAUUGAAAAGUCUAGUUUAUUACUUGCUCUUCUGGCUUACCACUUAACAUUCUGUAACCUUUCUUGUGAAUUAUUUACAAUUACUAUACAGGAAUUGUGACUUCUGUCAGUCUUUCUGUUAAGAAAGAAAAAAGAGACAUUAUCUC
rnacentral:lncRNA from 1 species